rnacentral:rRNA from 1 species
UACGUAGGGGGCUAGCGUUGUCCGGAAUCAUUGGGCGUAAAGAGCGUGUAGGCGGUCCGGUAAGUCCGCUGUGAAAGUCGGGGGCUCAACCCUCGAAUGCCGGUGGAUACUGCCGGACUAGAGUUCGGAAGAGGCGAGUGGAAUUCCCGGUGUAGCGGUGAAAUGCGCAGAUAUCGGGAGGAACACCAAUGGCGAAGGCAGCUCGCUGGGACGUUACUGACGCUGAGACGCGAAAGCGUGGGGAGCAAACAGG